rnacentral:rRNA from 1 species
GGUCAAAUGACCGAAAGAUUACGGUGGAUACCUAGGCAUUCAGAGUCGAUGAAGGGCGCGGAAACCGGCGAAACGCUUCGGGGAGUUGGAAACAAACUUUGAUCCGGAGAUACCCGAAUAGGGCAACCUCUAGUACUUCAAUCCGAAUUCAUAAGAUUGAAAGAGUGAACCUGGUGAACUGAAACAUCUUAGUAGCCAGAGGAGUAGAAAGCAAAAGCGAUUCCCUUAGUAGCGGCGAGCGAAAUGGGAACAGCCUAAACCGGUAUUUUUAUUAAACCGGGGUUGUGGGAAGAAAAACCGAAUGGUUUAUUCAAUUUUAAACGAAGCAGCUGAAUCCUGCACCAUAGAGGGUGAAAGUCCCGUAGUUAAAAAAGCUGAAAAAUCAAUUUUCUAUCCCGAGUAGCAUGGAACACGUGAAAUUCCGUGUGAAUCUGCGAGGACCACCUCGUAAGGCUAAAUACUCCUGAAUGACCGAUAGUGAAACAGUACCGCGAGGGAAAGGUGAAAGAGAACCCCUGUCGGGGAGUGAAAUAGAACAUGAAACCGUAAUCUGACUAACAGUAGGAGCACAAGUAAAUGUGUGACUGCGUACCUGUUGAAGAAUGGGCCGGCGACUUAUAAGGAGUGGCUUGGUUAAGAAGGUUCAAUUCGGAGCCAAAGCGAAAGCGAGUCUUAAUUGGGCGUUUGUCACUUCUUAUAGACCCGAACCCGGGUGAUCUAACCAUGGCCAGGAUGAAGCUUGGGUAAAACCAAGUGGAAGACCGAACCGACUGAUGUUGAAAAAUCAGCGGAUGAGCUGUGGUUAGGGGUGAAAUGCCAAUCGAACUCGGAGCUAGCUGGUUCUCCCCGAAAUGCGUUGAGGCGCAGCGGUGAAUGAUCGAACUGUCGAGGGGUAAAGCACUGUAUCGUUGCGGGCUGCGAAAGCGGUACCAAUACGUAGCAAACUAAGAAUACUCGGCACUAGUUUUCCAUUCACCAGUGAGACAGUGGGGGAUAAGCUUCAUUGUCAAGAGGGAAACAACCCAGAUCACCAGCUAAGGCCCCUAAAUGACUGCUAAGUGGUAAAGGAGGUGAGAAUGCUGAAACAACCAGGAGGUUUGCUUAGAAGCAGCCACCCUUUAAAGAGUGCGUAAUAGCUCACUGGUAAAGCGUUCUUGCGCCGAAAAUGACCGGGACUAAGCAGUCUGCCGAAGCUGUGGGUAUCUACUUUCUGUAGAUACGGUAGGGGAGCGUUCCGUUUUAGGGUGAAGCAUCAAUGUAAAUCGGUGUGGACGAAGCGGAAGUGAGAAUGUCGGCUUGAGUAACGAAAAUAUUGGUGAGAAUCCAAUACCCCGAAAACCUAAGGGUUCCUCUACAAGGUUCGUCCGUGGAGGGUGAGUCAAAACCUAAGGCGAGUCUAGCGUGCUAGAGUAGUCGAUGGAAAACAGGUUAAUAUUCCUGUACUUCAAAGUAAUGGGCAACGAGGGACGGAGAAGGCUAAGCUGGUCUACCUUGGUUUGGUAGAUGGAAGUGUUCGAGGUUUUGAGAAAAAGAAUAAAAACUUUUUUGAGCUGAGGCACGAUACGAGCUUUGUUCAAUCUGCUUCGCAGACUUGUCAAAGUUUCAGUCUAUGUCAUGCUUCCAAGAAAAGCUCGCACUGCUUAUCAUUGCUUUGAAUUUGUACCCGAAACCGACACAGGUAGGUUAGUAGAGAAUACUAAGGGGCGCGAGAUAACUCUCUCUAAGGAACUCGGCAAAAUGACCCCGUAACUUCGGGAGAAGGGGUGCCUCCGCGAGGAGGUUGCAGUGACCAGGCCCUGGCGACUGUUUACCAAAAACACAGGUCUCCGCUAAGUCGCAAGACGAUGUAUGGGGGCCGACGCCUGCCCAGUGCCGGAAGGUGAAGGAAGUUGGUCAAUUCUUUUGAAUGAAGCUAGCGACCGAAGCCCCGGUGAACGGCGGCCGUAACUAUAACGGUCCUAAGGUAGCGAAAUUCCUUGUCGGGUAAGUUCCGACCCGCACGAAAGGCGUAACGAUCAGGGCGCUGUCUCAGAGAGAGGCUCGGUGAAAUAGACAUGUCCGUGAAGAUGCGGACUUCCUGCACCUGGACAGAAAGACCCUAUGAAGCUUGACUAUAGCUUGGAAUUGGCUUCGGGCUCUACUUGCGCAGCCUAGGUGGGAGACGUUGAACAUUUUCUUCCGGGAAAAUGGGAGUCAUCAUUGAGAGACCACUCUGGUAGAGCUAGAAUCCUAAGAGUGAUCCUUGAAUCAGGACACUUAACAGUUUCAGGUGGGUAGUUUGACUGGGGCGGUCGCCUCCUAAAAUGUAACGGAGGCGUGCAAAGGUUCCCUCAGGCUGGACGGAAAUCAGCCGGAGAGUGUAAAGGCAGAAGGGAGCUUGACUGCAAGACCUACAAGUCGAGCAGGGGCGAAAGCCGGCCUUAGUGAUCCGACGGUUCCGCGUGGAAGGGCCGUCGCUCAACGGAUAAAAGUUACUCUAGGGAUAACAGGCUGAUUUUCCCCAAGAGUUCAUAUCGACGGGAAAGUUUGGCACCUCGAUGUCGGCUCAUCGCAACCUGGGGCGGUAGCACGUCCCAAGGGUUGGGCUGUUCGCCCAUGAAAGCGGUACGUGAGCUGGGUUCAGAACGUCGUGAGACAGUUCGGUCCAUAUCCGGUGUAGGCGUUAGAGUAUUGAGAGGAGCCUUCCUUAGUACGAGAGGACCGGGAAGGACAUGCCAAUGGUGUACCAGUUCUCGUUCCAACGGGAAACGCUGGGUAGCUACGCAUGGAGUGGAUAACUGCUGAAAGCAUCUAA